AACGAACGCUGGAGGCGUGCUUAACACAUGCAAGUCGCACGAGAAAGUCCUUCGGGAUGAGUAGAGUGGCGCACGGGUGAGUAAUACAUAGGAACGUACCUUUAGGUGGGGGAUAACGACGGGAAACUGUCGCUAAUACCGCAUAACCUUGAAAAAGUAAAGAUGGCCUCUGCUUGCAAGCUAUCGCCAAAAGAGCGGCCUGUGUCCCAUUAGCUAGUUGGUAGGGUAAUGGCCUACCAAGGCGACGAUGGGUAGCUGGUCUGAGAGGAUGAUCAGCCACACUGGAACUGAGACACGGUCCAGACUCCUACGGGUGGCUG
rnacentral:rRNA from 1 species